CGCUGGCGGCGUGCCUAAUACAUGCAAGUCGAACGCACUCUCGUUUAGAUUGAAGGAGCUUGCUCCUGAUUGAUAAACAUUUGAGUGAGUGGCGGACGGGUGAGUAACACGUGGGUAACCUGCCCUAAGUGGGGGAUAACAUUUGGAAACAGAUGCUAAUACCGCAUAAAACCUAACACCGCAUGGUGUAGGGUUGAAAGAUGGUUUCGGCUAUCACUUUAGGAUGGACCCGCGGUGCAUUAGUUAGUUGGUGAGGUAAAGGCUCACCAAGACCGUGAUGCAUAGCCGACCUGAGAGGGUAAUCGGCCACACUGGGACUGAGACACGGCCCAGACUCCUACGGGAGGCAGCAGUAGGGAAUCUUCCACAAUGGACGAAAGUCUGAUGGAGCAACGCCGCGUGAGUGAAGAAGGUUUUCGGAUCGUAAACUCUGUUGUUGGAGAAGAAUGUAUCUGAUAGUAACUGAUCAGGUAGUGACGGUAUCCAACCAGAAAGCCACGGCUAACUACGUG
rnacentral:rRNA from 1 species